GUGGGGAAUAUUGCACAAUGGGCGCAAGCCUGAUGCAGCAACGCCGCGUGAGGGACGACGGCCUUCGGGUUGUAAACCUCUUUUAGUAGGGAAGAAGCGAAAGUGACGGUACCUGCAGAAAAAGCACCGGCUAACUACGUGCCAGCAGCCGCGGUAAUACGUAGGGUGCAAGCGUUGUCCGGAAUUAUUGGGCGUAAAGAGCUCGUAGGCGGUCUGUCGUGUCUGCUGUGAAAACCCGAGGCUCAACCUCGGGCCUGCAGUGGGUACGGGCAGACUAGAGUGCGGUAGGGGAGAUUGGAAUUCCUGGUGUAGCGGUGGAAUGCGCAGAUAUCAGGAGGAACACCGAUGGCGAAGGCAGAUCUCUGGGCCGUAACUGACGCUGAGGAGCGAAAGCGUGGGGAGCGA
rnacentral:rRNA from 1 species